CCCACGUCUACGCGCACAAACGCAUUGAGUUGCUGCCAUUGCUGAUUAGCAAACAAUUUAGCAGGUGUACCUACUAAAGUGGCCUGUGGUGUGUACAUGAAUAGACAUAUAUCUGGUAGUGAAGUAUUGUGGUAAUAUUGGUAUAAAGGUAAAUACAACAGUUAAUGCGCACGUGAAAUCAAGAAAAAUGACUCGUCCAACUGAUUUAAAACAUACAAGAGGUUCCAUCCAUCCAGCACACGCUGUGUCCCGUCUCCCUGAUGGUCCCCAGAGGGCUUUACAGUGUGCACACGGCCGCCGUCCCUGAACCGCGUGUCAUUAAAUGAACGCGCUGUUUGUUCUGGCGUCCUGACUCACGGACGGGUUUCACCUGAAGACUGAACACCUGCUGGGCCUCAUCGCUUACCUUGUUCUGAGAACACGAAGGAGGCCGCGGGGUCCUGGUGCUGGACUCAGAAGGUAAAGCAUUGAAAGGAUUCCAAACGCCGCCUGCACUCACUUACUUUCCUGGUUAGAACUAAAGAAAAGACUAAGAGCACGACGGCCGCGAUUUACAUCAGUGUUUUUAAGAAUUUCAAGCAUCAAAGCUUUUUGUCAAAGCUGAUUCCUUAAUGCACUUUGUUCAAAAGUAAAAGGCCUUUGUUGACAAACCAGAAGGAGCUAAUCUGAAUCCUAAAGUGACUGAAAACGUUUGCCUCCUUCCUGGCUUCUUAUUUUCUUUAUUUUCGAUAGAAUAUGCGGUUUGUAAAUUAUUGGGUUCGGGUCAACGGCCAUGAGACCUCACAUCGCUGAUUUAAGGCGUUGACUCGGUCGCUCCAUCUAGUUUCUUCUGAGCCAUCUACAGGUGGACCUGCUGCGAGGGUUUCGUCUUUUCCAUGGCUUUAAAAAUAAUCUGUACAACCUUGAAAUCAAAUCUCUAGAAUGUCCAAGUGGUGAAAGAAGUGCGGCCUCGCUGCCUGUAAGCGCUGUGUUCAUUAGAAACACACAGCCACUAGUUCCUCUCACAGGAGACGGAUCUGCUGUGAACAGGUCUGAUUCCCAGGAGCAUUAGGAAGGUUUGAUGAUAUACAUGUGUCCAAAUGUCCCGCUCGCCGGCCACAUCCCUCUAUGGACGCGUUGGUCAGAGACGUGUGCGUCAUUAACCAUCAGGAACGCACAACACUGAGUAGCACCUCAUGCACGACUUAGGAGCGCUUCAUUCAAUAGUUAUGAGACGUGUUACAAUAAUCAGGAACUAAGAAUGACUCGAUACCCUUUAAGGGAAGAGGUGACCUGAUGAAUCAGCGCUCCUGCCUGACGUCUUUGGGUAACUUGGUGGUAACUUGGGUCUGGAUGUUCCAAUUGUCUGCUGGUGUCUCCACACACACACUGCAACCGCUUCAUUUCAAUUCAUGUGGCCGUUUCAGCGUAGAAGAACCUCCUCAGAAUGAGGCCCUGCUGGGGGGCUGGUUACAGUCUUGCAUCAUUGGGAACAAACAACACAAGACCACGAAGACUUUGUCAAAGUUAUUAUUGUAGAAUACGUUGAUGUAUUUUUUCUUUCAUACAGACAAAAGGUGUUGGACUUAAUUUCCAUUUAAAUUCUCUUAGAUUUCCAUACAGAUUUAGUCUACAGUAUACAGGUGUGUUCUUUCUCAUAUAUAGAUAUUUAUUCGCUUAAAUAACAGGCAGGUAACUCUUUAAUAUAUUCAAUAGUCUUUAUGUUUUGUUGUUUUUUUUGGUCUUUUUUCAUGUCAGCACAGUUAAGGCUGCAUUUUCUGUCUGCAGAACAGCUCCGCGUUGUGCAACAAGGGGACAAUAUUUACAACAGUAUGUAUAAUGAAUAAGGUAAAACAAGAAUCCCUCCCAUCGUAACAUGGCAGUGUGUACUUGUAGAUCUAAAAGAGCAGCCUGACAAUGCGUGGAUGCAUUGCACUUCUGCAGUCUCUAGCUCUGCACCACCCGGCCCUUUAGAUCACACCGAGGAACAUCUGGAUCUCCUGUUCCCUAUUUACAGAGCGGUGACGAGAAGCAUCUCUCAACCUGUGCACACUUCAGGGGCCGCUCGACGGACAGAAAACACAGCGCUCAGAAUAUGCUCGGGAGGAUGUGCAACGGUCUUUUUCUAAAAUAAUCAUAAUAUACAAGAGCCUCCAUUUGUUGUCCCUCUUUACAGAAAGCAGCAGGAUCGAAAGAAAUAAAAAAACCCAAAAUAAACAAAGAAAACCGAGUAACUCAAAGAUGCACAUUUGGACGAUCUGUACAGAAGUGAUUGUACAAUUUAUAAUUUUGAUAAAUAUAAUAUAUUAUUUUUCACAUUGUGUUUUGCCUUCUGUGAAACGGUCUCACAACGUGAUGUAACGUGGCUGAUGGACAAAGAUGGCUGGAACUGGAGAGUCAAAUUUACACCACUAGAUGAUAAGACUGUUGUUUCCCUGUGUGUGUGUGUGUGUGUGUGUGUGUGAAAGCAUUGAUAAGAGCUGUGCUAAGAGGUGCUAAAGUAGAGCAGGUUGGACUUGAACAGAAUGUGUGUGUGUGUGUGUGUGUGUGCGUGUGUGUGUGUGAGCAGGAGACAUCAGAGCACACAGUGUCCUCAAUGAUUAACACAUAAAGGGGACAUCAAUGAUACCAAAUGCAUGCGUCAAAACAGACAGACCAUACGAUGUCACCACCGACCCACCGACCAAUGGUGGAGGUGACGGGUGCUCAUAAGACGGGGCUCUGCAGUUAUUUCAGGGUGUUCCCAGAGAGCAUCCUCCAUCAGAACCACAGAACCAUCAGGACCAUCAGACCCAUCAGGACCAUCAGACCCAUCAGACCCAUCAGGACCAUCAGACCCAUCAGGACCAUCAGUAUCAUCAGAACCAUCAGGACCAUCAGGACCAUCAGAACCAUCAGGACCAUCAGACCCAUCAGACCCAUCAGACCCAUCAGGACCAUCAGGACCAUCAGACCCUUCAGGACCAUCAGACCCAUCAGACCCAUCAGGACCAUCAGGACCAUCAGACCAUCAGACCCAUCAGGACCAUCAGGACCAUCAGACCCAUCAGGACCAUCAGACCCAUCAGACCCAUCAGGACCAUCAGGACGGUCCGCUCUCUCACCGCGCGUGUCGUCAUCUCCGUCCACGUGGCCGUCUCUCUGCAUAUUGUCUUUCCGUGGUGGGGGGGACGGGCUGAUGACUGAGAGGUCAACUGGGUCCACCGGGGCGGGGGUAGAGGGGGCGGGGGGCGAGUCAUGGUCCCAGGAAACAUGGAGUCAGCGGUUCAGCCACACACGGUGCCACAUGGGAUGGGACGACUCGCACGUCAGGUGUGGAAUGUGAUGCGGCUGUUAGGAAUGUUCUAUGGAAUGUUCUAUGGAAUGUUGAGGUCGGCCCGGCAGGUGAAGCUUUACAAAUGGGAUUCAUUUUCGGAGCGGGCUCAUGCAGCAUGUUUUGCCCUGGUUUGCGUAACGACGUCCUCUACUGUUAUCUAAUAUAGUAGCACCUGUGUUCAUGUCUCCGGACAACCAAGAGAUAAUAUUUGAUUUUUGGAAAUGAAAUUACAGACAUUUUCAUACCGACCCAGUUUGUUUCAGUUGCUUUUAAGCCGCUCACGGGCUGCAGAUAUGGUGUUAGGAACCGAUCCACCUAAUGACAUAUACAGUGUCCAUUGAUGAGCUAGCUAGCAGUAGGCAGGUUGUGAUUUCCUUUAGAAAGAGCCAGCUAAGCUAAGCUAACGUGCCGUAGCAUACUUAGCGUGCAGGAAUGAAAAUGGUAUCACUCGUCACAUGGAGCACUGAAGUGUCCCAGCAUGACGUGACUACGGACUGAGUGUCCUUCAAGUGUCUCAAACAGCUAAUUGAUCAUCACGAUGACGCAUGAGCUCCUACUGGUUUAGUGGAGACUUCAGGCCCAAAGCUGAACAAUGGGCGGGACGGCCUGAGUGAUCUGUGUCAUCCAACAGUGACCCCCCACACACACACACACACACGCACACGCACACAGACACGCACACGCACACCUCUGUAAGAAGGGUCAAACCUGUCCACCAGGCCACUGGUCCGUGAUGGAGACGGGGCACCAGAGCAGGCGGGUCUGAUGUGAGAGUCGUAAAGGGACACCUGUGCGUUGUGUGUUUGAUGGCAUUUAAAGGGUUAAUGCAGACACACACACACACACACACACACACUAGUAAAGUCCAGAGGACACGAGACGAGACAAACGACACAAUGGCUUUAGGGACAGCAAGAGAGAAACCAGCACAGACUCAUCAGUUCGUCAGCAUGACACCAGGCGGAGUGGCACACGUCUCACACACGUCUCACACACGUCUCACACACGUCUCACACACGUCCCACACACGUCUCACACACGUCCCACACACGUCCCACACACGUCUCACACACGUCCCACACACGUCCCACACACGUCUCACACACGUCUCACACACGUCUCACACACGUCCCACACGUCUCACACACGUCCCACACGUCUCACACACGUCUCACACACGUCCCACACACGUCUCACACGUCCCACACACGUCUCACACACGUCUCACACACGUCCCACACGUCUCACACACGUCUCACACACGUCCCACACACGUCUCACACAUCCCACACACGUCUCACACACGUCUCACACACGUCUCACACACGUCUCACACACGUCUCACACACGUCCCACACGUCUCACACA
ensembl:lncRNA